rnacentral:rRNA from 1 species
UGAGCAAUCUGCCCUUCUCUUCGGAAUAAGCGUUGGAAACGACGUCUAAUGCCGAAUACGACCUCCUUUCGCAUGAUCGGAGGUGGAAAGCUCCGGCGGAGAAGGAUGAGCUCGCGGCCUAUCAGCUAGUUGGUGUGGGUAAUGGCCCACAAGGCGACGACGGGUAGCCGGCCUGAGGAGGGUGACCCGGCCACGCGUGGGACUGAGACACGGCCAGACUCCGUAGGGA